UUUCCGUAGGUGAACCUGCGGAAGGAUCAUUAAAAAUUGGACUCCAUUGGUGAGUUUCAUUAAUAAUCCCUACCCUUUGUGAAUUUGUUGUUUGAAUAUUUUUUUCCAAAAAAAAUUAUUGAAUGUCUUUCCUUGUUUUGGUGGAGCUUGUAAAGUGAAACCAGGCAGGGGAAUGGCAAACAAUAAUUAUUUUUGAAAAAGACCUUUUUUUAAAAUUAAACUUUUGUAUUCAUUUGUCUAAAAUUAAUUUUUAUAAUAUAAAACAACUUUUGACAAUGGAUCUCUUGGUUCUCGCAACGAUGAAGAACGCGGCAAAAUGCGAUAAGUAGUGUGAAUUGCAGAAUACGUGAAUCAUCGAAUCUUCGAACGCAUAUUGCACUUUUUUAGUUUACUAAAAAAGUAUGUCUGUUUGAGUAUCAGUAAAAUAUUCUCAUAAAAAACAUUGUUUUUUUUAUGGUUAUGAGUGUUUUACAACGAUAACAAGUUGUUUCACUUUAAAUUCUUUGUUAUCAAAAAAAUCAUUAAAAGCUAAUUUUAAAGAUUUUUAAAUUGGAUAAAUUUUCCCGUAAAAAGGAAUAACCUAAACAAUUUUAAAAAAUUAAAAUUGGUUUAAUUUUUUUGAAACCCAAAGGAAAAAAAAACGAAAUUAACUUGAUCUCAAAUCAGAUAAGAAUACCCGCUGAACUUAAGCAUAUCAAUAAGCGGAGGAAAAGGAACUAACUAGGAUUCCCUCAGUAACGGCGAGUGAAGCGGGAAGAGCUCAAAUUUGAAAUCUUCAAGGUUUUACCUGACGAAUUGUAGUUUAAAGAAUGUUUUCUGUUGGAGUUUUGGUAAAAGUUCUUUGGAAAAGGACAUCAUAGAGGGUGAGAAUCCCGUAUUUGACCAUUAUCUCCAGCUUUGUGAUACACUUUCAAAGAGUCGGAUUGUUUGGGAAUGCAGUCCAAAAUGGGUGGUAAAUUUCAUCUAAAGCUAAAUACUGGCGAGAGACCGAUAGCGAACAAGUACCGUGAGGGAAAGAUGAAAAGAACUUUGAAAAGAGAGUUAAACAGUACGUGAAAUUGUCAAAGGGAAGCGUUUGACACCAGUGUUGUUUUCUCGAAAAUCAAUUAAAAAAGGCCGGAUUUUGUGUUGUAUUGACUUUAUCAGCUUUCUGCACUCUUUUCUUGUCUUUUUUAAUGCACUUUUCGUUUAACAAGUCAACAUCAAUUUCUUUGUUGUAAAAGGGUCAUUGGAAGGUGGCUUUCUUUUCGGAGAAAGUGUUUAUAGCCUUUGCCUCUGCAAUCGGAGAGAUUGAGGUCUGCAGCGUAGAUCCUUCGGGGUUAGAUACAUUUGUGCUAAGUUAUAGCCUUUUCAUAGAAACUUGUUGACUAUGAUCAGUCAUGUAGCUUACUCGCUUAUGCUAUUU
rnacentral:misc_RNA from 1 species